rnacentral:misc_RNA from 1 species
GAUGAAGAACGUAGCGAAAUGCGAUAAGUAGUGUGAAUUGCAGAAUUCAGUGAAUCAUCGAAUCUUUGAACGCACAUUGCGCCCCUUGGUAUCCCGAGGGGCAUGCCUGUUCGAGCGUCAUUUCACCACUCAAGCCUGGCUUGGUGUUGGGCGACGUCCCCUUUGGGGACGCGCCUCGAAACGCUCGGCGGCGCGGCACCGGCUUUAAGCGUAGCAGAAUCUUUCGCUUUGGAAGUCGGGGCCCCGCCUGCCGGAAUACCUACUUGUAAGGUUGACCUCGGAUCAGGCAGGGAUACCCGCUGAACUUAAGCAUAUCAAUAAGCGGAGGA